AUUGAACGCUGGCGGCAAGCCUAACACAUGCAAGUCGAACGAGUGGCGGACGGGUGAGUAAUGUCUGGGAAACUGCCUGAUGGAGGGGGAUAACUACUGGAAACGGUCGCUAAUACCGCAUACCAUCGGAUGUGCCCAGAUGGGAUUAGCUAGUAGGUGGGGUAAAGGCUCACCUAGGCGACGAUCCCUAGCUGGUCUGAGAGGAUGACCAGCCACACUGGAACUGAGACACGGUCCAGACUCCUACGGGAGGUAGCAGUGGGGAAUAUUUCACAAUGGGCGCAAGCCUGAUGCAGCCAUGCCGCGUGUAUGAAGAAGGCCUGCGGGUUGUAAAGUACUUUCAGCGGGGAGGCGUUACCCGAAGAAGAAGCCCCGGCUAACUCCGUGCCAGCCGCCGCGGGAAUUC
rnacentral:rRNA from 1 species